AAUAGAUCCCGGUAGUCCACGCCGUAAACGAUGUCGACUUGGAGGUUGUGCCCUUGAGGCGUGGCUUCCGGAGCUAACGCGUUAAGUCGACCGCCUGGGGAGUACGGCCGCAAGGUUAAAACUCAAAUGAAUUGACGGGGGCCCGCACAAGCGGUGGAGCAUGUGGUUUAAUUCGAUGCAACGCGAAGAACCUUACCUACUCUUGACAUCCAGAGAACUUAGCAGAGAUGCUUUGGUGCCUUCGGGAACUCUGAGACAGGUGCUGCAUGGCUGUCGUCAGCUCGUGUUGUGAAAUGUUGGGUUAAGUCCCGCAACGAGCGCAACCCUUAUCCUUUGUUGCCAGCGGUUAGGCCGGGAACUCAAAGGAGACUGCCAGUGAUAAACUGGAGGAAGGUGGGGAUGACGUCACGUCAUCAUGGCCCUUACGAGUAGGGCUACACACGUGCUACAAUGGCAUAUACAAAGAGAAGCGACCUCGCGAGAGCAAGCGGACCUCAUAAAGUAUGUCGUAGUCCGGA
rnacentral:rRNA from 1 species